CAGUCGUACUUAUGGGUAAUCAGCCUUUUGGGUGUGAUUUUGUGGAGUGUGAGGAGCUAAACACCUUCAUUGUUUUGCAUAUUCGUGCACAUUUGGUGUACUUGUCCGUGUGGUGGGUUAACAUCAAUUUCGGUCGUCAUAAAAUGAUUGGAGGAAUGUAGCUUUGAUCUCGUAUCGAAGUGUUA
rnacentral:rRNA from 1 species